rnacentral:rRNA from 1 species
AUUGAACGCUGGCGGCAUGCCUUACACAUGCAAGUCGAACGGCAGCACGGGAGCAAUCCUGGUGGCGAGUGGCGAACGGGUGAGUAAUAUAUCGGAACGUGCCCAGUCGUGGGGGAUAACGUAGCGAAAGCUACGCUAAUACCGCAUACGAUCUAUGGAUGAAAGCGGGGGAUCGCAAGACCUCGCGCGAUUGGAGCGGCCGAUAUCAGAUUAGGUAGUUGGUGAGGUAAAGGCUCACCAAGCCGACGAUCUGUAGCUGGUCUGAGAGGACGACCAGCCACACUGGGACUGAGACACGGCCCAGACUCCUACGGGAGGCAGCAGUGGGGGAAUUUUUGGACGAAUAGGGCGGCGAAGACCUGAUCCACGCAAUAGCCGCCGUGCAGGAGUGAAGGACCGUCGGUUGGUUAACGUUAGUACGUUU